rnacentral:rRNA from 1 species
UGAACGCUGGCGGCGUGCUUAACACAUGCAAGUCGAACGAACCUUCGGGUUAGUGGCGGACGGGUGAGUAACGCGUGGGAAUCUGCCCUCAGGAGGGGGAUAACGGCUGGAAACGGCCGCUAAUACCCCAUAUGCCGAGAGGUGAAAUGAAUUUCGCCUGAGGAUGAGCCCGCGUCUGAUUAGCUAGUUGGUGGGGUAAAGGCCUACCAAGGCGACGAUCAGUAGCUGGUCUGAGAGGAUGAUCAGCCACACUGGGACUGAGACACGGCCCAGACUCCUACGGGAGGCAGCAGUGGGGAAUUUUCCGCAAUGGGCGAAAGCCUGACGGAGCAACGCCGCGUGAGGGGUGAAGGCCUCUGGGCUGUAAACCUCUUUUCUCAAGGAAGAAGAUCUGACGGUACUUGAGGAAUAAGCCACGGCUAAUUCCGUGCCAGGAG